ACUUUAGGUUUUGCCGUUUUUGGCGAAUUAAAUGGGAAUCAGGUUAAAGUCCUGAACUGUCCCCGCAACUGUAAGCUCUGUACGAUUCUGCAUUAGGCCACUGAUAAUAAUUGGGAAGGCGUAGAAUUAAGGAGUAAGUCAGGAUAUCUGCCCCAGGUU
rnacentral:ncRNA from 1 species